rnacentral:rRNA from 1 species
CAGUCGCCACGGGAAUACGUAGGUGGCAAGCGUUGUCCGGAAUUAUUGGGCGUAAAGGGCUCACAGGCGGUUUCUUAAGUCUGAUGUGAAAGCCCCCGGCUCAACCGGGGAGGGUCAUUGGAAACUGGGAAACUUGAGUGCAGAAGAGGAGAGUGGAAUUCCACGUGUAGCGGUGAAAUGCGUAGAGAUGUGGAGGAACACCAGUGGCGAAGGCGACUCUCUGGUCUGUAACUGACGCUGAGGAGCGAAAGCGUGGGGAGCGAACAGGAUUAGAUACCCCCGUAGUCCCUGUCUCUUAUAC